rnacentral:lncRNA from 1 species
CUCUCUUCUCCACCAGCCAACGUCCGGGAAAAACGAGUAAGUACAGGUUCCUUCUGCCAAUCCCCGCCGGCCACAGCUAACUUUCCCGCCCGGCCCCUUUCUGUCAUAAUUGAGGUGUCCACAACCAGCCAAUCAGGAACGCGAGAGUAUCCCGCGUUUGCUUUCGCUCGCCGAGGCGCGUAUCAGUCGGAAUUUUGGGGAGCCAACCGCGCCGUCUGUCCCUGGCAAGCCAGCGGCGGUUUAAAGGAGGUGGCGGGAAGCCUGUGUGUGCUUCAAAUCGUCACCCUCAUGGUCGCUCCGAGUCUCGCUCUGUUGCCCAGGCUGGGGUGCAGUGGCACAAUCUCGGCUCACCGCAACCUUCGCCUCUCGGGUUCCAGUGAUUCUCCUGCCUCAGCCUCCCGAGUAGCUGGGAUUGCAAGUAUCCACCAUCACGCCUGGAUGGCUUGGCUGGAGGACAAGCAAAUUGAGGACAUUGGCAACGGAGUGAUCAAAAUGAUAGAUCAUGAGGCCUAAAAUGAAUAAGGAAAGAAGAGAAGUGGCAGAGGCUGAGAACAGAAAGAGAGGGUGGAGGGGCUGUAAAUCUUGAAGAUUAGGGUAUAAUAUGAGUAUAUGGGUAAGAAUUGGAAGAAUUGUGUAGGAGGCAGUAGUCAAAAAGUAGAAGCAGUUUGGAAGAGUAGUUACAAAUAUCAAGAGCCAGGUGGCUAAAAGGUGGAGCUAUAGGUCAUUGAAGCUCAAGAAACUGAGUCUCUAGGGCAUUGGUUAAGUCAUCUGUCUAGACUUCAAAGUUGUCUAGGAUGAUAAUUCAGAAGACUGAUCUGUGCCAAAGUCACAGGUUUUUCACGACUGAAAACAACAUAGCAAAAUAAGCCAAGAUGUCUGUGGAUCCAAUGACCUACGAGGCCCAGUUCUUUGGCUUCACGCCACAAACGUGCAUGCUUCGGAUCU